AUGUCCCUCGAUGGUGAAUUGGUGAUCUACGAUUCAAUGCAACCAAAAUUCUCGGAAGUGCCGCGACUUCUCUCGAUCGACACCGCACGCGAACAACACUUCCGAAACAAGGAGAAACUAAGCCUAUCUAUGCCGCUAGCAAAUUACCACAACCGAACCGCGGACAGCGACGGAUCCCAGAAAAAACAGCAGGAUAGGACGAUAGCAACCAGCAUUGCGAUCUGCGAGUUCGCGGCGGCGCCGGCCAUGCAGCAAGAGCUCGCCGCGCUGGCGUACCAGUCGGCCGGUUUCGUCGGCCUCCCGACGUCCUACCUGCCGCCGCACCCGCACGACGUGGACGUGGACCUCGUCGACGGGUGGUUGGUCGGCGGCAGCGCCGGGGCUGGCGACAAUGGCCACGGCCCGCCGUCGUGCGGCAGCGGCCUGAGCCACGUCGCCGACGCCGUGAGCGAGACGAGGAAGGCGAGGCGGCUGGCGUCGAACCGCGAGUCGGCGCGGCGGUCGCGGAUGCGGCGGCGGAGGCAGCUGGACGAGCUGUCGGCGUGCGCCGCGGAGCUGCGCGCGGCCAACCAGCGGCUCGUCGUGGAGCUGAACCGCGCCGAGGCCAGGCACGCGCAGGUCGUCCGGGAGAACGCGCGGCUCCGGGAGGAGCUCCGCCGCCUGCGGGAGAGGCUCGCCGCCGAGGAAGAGACCACCGAUCGAGCGGGAGAAGACGCCGGCGACGAAGCUGCUGCCGCAAGAACGCCCUGGAUUAUUAUGUUUUCAUCGAUCGGGCUCUUGGGAUUGUUCACUCCUGCUUCAGUGAAACACUACUCCGUAUCAGUUAACUUCGUUGGCUGCAACAUCGUUCCUACAGUCCCCUGUCGACUAAUCGCUGGUGGCCUUGGUGUUGCCCCGCUGCCGGCGACAGCGACGUCGGACACCGGCCAGCCGCCGGACACCGGCAGCCAACUCGCCAUAGACCAUCUAGUUGCUCCAUCCGCUGGGCCCGUUCUUCCGUGGGGCCAAGGGCCAGUGGGUGGGUUGUGUGCGCGCGUCGUCGGCGUUUGCCUCUGCCUUCUCUGCCUCAUGGUUGACCGAGUGGAUUGGCUAGGUGAGAGAAGUCCUGUGUUUGUCGAUUGGCUGGCCCUGCAUGCGCGCCGUGAUUGGCUCGUUCCCGCGCGCGUCAGUGUCUUCGGUGUGGAAGCUGGUGCGGUCGCCUGCUUUGCUAUCCCGGGCUCUCGCGAGAGCGACGUGUGCUUGGGCUCCGUGCGGCCAGAGCGGUCAAAGCAAGUGGAAUCAUGCUACUCUACUUGUUUCUACCUGACCGUUUUCUACCCAGCUGCGUCUGUGGUCGCAGUUGUUGUUUGGUCCCGCGUUACAGUGACUUGGUUGUCGUCUAAGGGUGGAGAGGAGGACAGCCGCAGCAGCAAGCGGCAUGCUGCCCCAUCCAUUCCAGCCGUCGUACAUGGCCGCAUCGAUUUUCAGUUGCCUCACCUCUUGCUGUUCGGUUUUCCUCCUUCUUCCUCCUUUGUUGGUACAGGAUUGUUUGUUUCGUUGGAAGCGAGGCUGCUCGGGUAUGUGACUACAUCAGGUGGUUAUUUGCUCCCGGAGAUCAAAGAUUAUUUAGCCAUUCCCGUGCUUCCAAAGCGACUCAUGACCCCUCUUAUAACUCUGCUCUGGAAUAUUGAGUUUAACACCUGCAUUGGUACUGUUAACCUUUCAGUGAGCGAGUUCACAAGGCAACUGGAAGGGGAAUGCAUAUCUCUUGUCAUUAUGGUGUACAAGCUUAUUUGGUAUCAGUUUAGAUUGUUCGAUAUGGUGCAAGGGCAUGCGCUAAAUGAGAGAAAGAACCAACACAAGGGAAGGAACAGGGGUCAGACAACUGAUAUCAUGGCAAUCACUCUGUUUCUGCCUUUCUAUGUUAUUGUUUCCAUUCCUUAUGAGGAAGGGGUAACCAUCUGA
rnacentral:rRNA from 1 species